CAGCAGCCGCGGUAAUACGGAGGGGGCUAGCGUUGUUCGGAAUUACUGGGCGUAAAGCGCACGUAGGCGGCUUGGUAAGUUAGAGGUGAAAGCCUGGAGCUCAACUCCAGAAUUGCCUUUAAGACUGCCGAGCUAGCAGGUGAGAGAGGUAAGUGGAAUUCCGAGUGUAGAGGUGAAAUUCGUAGAUAUUCGGAAGAACACCAGUGGCGAAGGCGGCUUACUGGCUCAUACUGGACGCUGAGGUGCGGAAGCGUGGGGAGCAAACAGGAUUAGAUACCCCUGUAGUCCCUGUCUCUUAUAA
rnacentral:rRNA from 1 species